rnacentral:misc_RNA from 1 species
UCUCCGUUGGUGGACCAGCGGAGGGAUCAUUACCGAGUUUACAACUCUCAAACCCCAUGUGAACCUUACCAAACGUUGCUUCGGCGGGAUGCCCCGGGCGCGGGCCGCAAGGCCUCAGCCCCGGAACCAGGCGCCCGCCGGAGGCCCAAACCAAACUCUUGUUUUUGUAGAAUCUUCUGAGUGGCCUUUUAGGCAAAAAAUGAAUCAAAACUUUCAACAACGGAUCUCUUGGUUCUG